GUGGGUAGAGCUCCGUGGUGGGGCGUGUGCUUAGCAAACACGAGGUCCUGGGUUCAAUCCCCAGUCCCUCCA
rnacentral:tRNA from 1 species